CUAGGUUCGUCCUACAAUCAACAUUGCUCUGAUACAACUUCUGUCACACCCAGAUUUAUGGGGGCAAACCCGGGCACGAAUCAAAUGUGUGCUAGGAUCAAGUCUCACACAUAUGAUGACUCAUGGUACAGAAACGAAUGUCACAUCAUUAAUAUAUAAUGUAGUUCUAUACAAAAUAGUCAAAUAAUUAAAUCAUACAAAGACAAAGAUGCAGCAACCAUAGUUGAUUGUGAGACGACGACCUAGACCUCUCACGAACUCAUCACAGCAUCAUGAUCCUUAUCUUGUGGUACCUGUCCUUGACCUGGGGAAAUGUGAGUACAACAAGGGUGAGCUCACAUACGUUCAUCGCUCAACAAGUUGUGGGGAAUAAUGUGCAUGAGCUCACUUACAAUGGGGCUCAUGUGAAGUAAGGCUUACCAAAGGAAAUGGUUAAAGCUGAGCAUUGCUUUUAAAGUUGGUCAAAGUUUUAUUAGCAGUUACUAAGUAUAAGUUGAUACCAACCCAAAUUAAAUAAGAGAUCACAAUUAAUAAUAACACCCACAAUGCAAUGCAUAUGACAGAUUAAGUUUAGUUCCAUAAGUUAAUCAUGCGAGAGUCCUGAGUCACUCUUGACCGUGAGCACGACUGAUAUACCAGUUUUACACUCUGCAGAGGUUGCACAUCUUUACCCACAAGAUGUGUUUUCCGAUUAACCAGGGUUAGCUAGACCCUUAGACACUUCCAAGGUGAAUGCCUAGGGAUCCACUGCGAGGCCUUUCCAAAGUUCCACUAGUUCGAGAAAACCCGCUACGGAUUAAGGAAGAAGGAAGCAUCGGAAUCCCUUGUCCGAAAAGCCAUCGCAGGAGUUCGACCCGAGGACCUCCCUAUACUCUGCAAUGAUGCCUCCCUGCUUGCCCCUUUCGGGUAUGGUAAUCUCUCCCUCUUUCCUAAUUACUUGGCCAAGGGCGUCUCAUUCCACCCUUGUGGUAGCACUUUAUCUCAAGUUAAGCUCCAUGUUUCAAUUAACACGAUAAUCUUAUCAUGAACAAUAAUUAAAUCAACAACAAUAUUGGAACAUGAUCAUAAUUUAGAUAUAACAUUAAUCCCAAAACUAGUUAGAGCAAUAGCAAGUCUACCCAAUAGUUCAUCGGUUUGCAAGGUAUAGGGUAAACAAAACUAGGGAAACCUAUUAGGUCCCAUCCAAUUAACCUGAGCAUGUUAUAGUGAUUAACAGAGAACAUUAUUAGAUAAAGAAGAGUGAUCAAUGGCACAACUUGCCUGUGACUUGAGAUUUUAGGUACUUCACUAAGUUGGUCUUCAGAUUUCUCGUGACCUCACUUCUAUGCGUAGCAAUAUAUACAAUCAAACAAAUAAUGGGUAUAGUAACAUUACACCAAAGCAUAUGAACAAACAAUGUAAGAAUGUCCUACGUGCCGCUACGAGAUUGUAGGUUCGAGAACCAUUAAAAUCGGAAUUAAAACGAAAAAGUUAUGGGUAAAAAAAUAUUUUUAGGCGUAAUAAAUCUAAUAUAUGUUGCAUUUAAAUUAAGCAUGUAUUAAGUUAAAAUAUCUGAGUUGAUAUUAAUCAAUUUAGUUAUUAAUUAUAAUAAGCAUAUGUCACAACUAUAAAUUAUAUUAACUAGAUUAUCUAGUUAAUUAACAUUAAUUAAUUAAAUAAUUAAUUAAUUAAAACAUGUGGCAUAAUUAAAACAAUGUUAUUAAACUUACACAAAAAUUAAUAUGAAACUAACAUAACUUGAACAGUUUAAAACAAAUUAUUUGACCUAUAAGAUAUCACAUUUUUAAUAAACUAGUAGGGUUGCUCAGAAAUAUGUGACAUUGACGGUAGGAAAGGUUUGUUUACAAAUGUAUGACCUAUCUAUUGCCAACUUAUCAUGAUUGUAUUUACUGUUAAAUUUGUGUUGUAUAGCAGUCUUGCAUGUAAAAAAGGGUAUAUGGUGGUGGUUAUUUAUUAGGUGGAAAGCGUCAAGCCUAUCAUAUGGAAAAGACCCCUAACCUACCUUGGUUGUUGCUGAUCAUCUCGGUUUUUGCUGGUCAUUUCGGUUUUUUUAUUAUGAACCAGAGAUCCGAUCGACAAACCGGAAGCGCAGUGACGAAGCUCGCAUGAGCUGGUCACGACGAUGUUCUGGGUUGCCCCGGAAGAUGAACGGACGAUGAGAAAUUACUCGCCAAAGCUGUCGCUAGAGUUAGGGAGGAACUCAAACUUCAACGAGCUGGUCAUAGCGGUUUAUGCCUGCGAGCUUAGCUGGCGGCGGCGAGGUUGGGCCACAGAGAGCGGCUAUGCUGACGAACGCCAUCGACGGACUGGAAAAACUCGAGUGAAUUACUACUUGUAGCAUUAGAUGUUGUACCUCGAUGCGGCACAUGUUGGCAACUCCUCGACAUGGGCGGCAUGCUGUUGACGACGAAUGACGGAGUUGCUCCGGUCUGGCGACCUUGGCAACAAACUUUCUCAUACGAGUUGGCUACUUUCUCAAU
rnacentral:lncRNA from 1 species